rnacentral:rRNA from 1 species
UACAGAGGUCUCAAGCGUUAUCCGGAUUUAUUGGGCGUAAAGCGUCCGCAGGUGGCUUGGCCAGUCAGGAGUUAAAACCUACCGCUUAACGGUAGGACUGCCUUUGAUACUACUAAGCUAGAGUAUGGAAGAGGUGAGCGGAAUUCUCGGUGUAGUCGUAAUAAGCGUUGAUAUCGAGAAGAACACCAAAUGCGAAGGCAGCUCACUGGUACAUUACUGACACUCAUGGACGAAAGCAUGGGGAGCGAACAGG